GAACCAGGUCUCCCUCCAUCUCCUUCAGAGACUCUCUGUCACUCUCUGGCGGUUUAAUGCCAGUAUGUGGCUUGGUCGAUUUGAUGCCCUUCCUCCCCAAGAGGACGGUCUUCAAUGACUGUGACUAAUUUGACUAGUUAUUAAUUGUUGUUAGUUCCAUUAUUGCUGUUUUUCUCCUUUUCCUCUCCUUUUUUGUUUGUUUUUUUUUUUUAAUGUUUAGGGCUUCUCCCCCUUUCUCUUCGCCCCUCUAUGUCCCUCCCCUGUUCCUCCCCUGUCCUCUUAUAAUAAUAAUAAUAAUAAUAAUAAUAAUAAUAAUAAUAAUAAUAAUAAAUAAUUUUUAAUUUUAAUAUAAAUUUUUUCUUGCUCUUUUAGCUUCGUAAGCGUCCAUUGACUACAGCAGAAUUCAUUCCUUUUCUUGCUAAAAUUGAUCCGAUUUAUAGAGAAGAAGAGGAAGCAUACAAAGCUUGGUUUAACAAGACUCCUCUUGGAAAGAAGAGAGCUAAAGCUAUCAAAGAAGCAAUGGGAGAGGAUGAUGGAGGGGGAGGGAAGAAAGGGAAGGGAAAGGGGAAAGGAAAAGGGAAAAAGAAGAAGAAAUAAACACAAAAAUACAAAAUACACUUAUUAAAUGUAUUGUUGCCUUCAAUUACACAUGUAAUAAUGAAUGCCUGAUGCGUGGGCGGGUAUCAAUGAAUCUA